CCCAAGUAUAAUUUUAUGUGUUGAAAAUUUUCGAAAUAUCCUAAUUUAAUUUUAGGAAACUUGUGGUGCGGCUAGAAUGAUUCGAAAUUUGGCUUAUAAUGAAUCUUGUAAAAAUUCUCAAAAUCGAUUGAAAAACGUGAGUUAUAACUCAAUGUUUUUUUUUUUUUUUUUGAGAGAAAUUGAAAUUUUUAGUUUUAGGAUUUUUUUUUUUGCGUGGUAGUGAAGGAAAAUAUUUCAAGACAUGUGGAUGGGAUCCUACCAUUAAUUAGCUCUUGAAACAAUUUUUUUAGAUUUUAAAUUGAAAAACAAACAAAAUAUAUAAAUUAUUAAGUGUCGAAAAUCUUCGGAAUGUCCUAAAUUAAUUUCAAAAAACAUAUGACACGACUAGAAUUACUUGAAUUUUGGCUUAUAAUGAAUCCCGUAAAAAUUCUCAAAAUCGAUUCUAAUCAAUGUCCAUUUGUAUGCUUUAUCGAUAGAUACACCCCUCUCCACAUUUGUCUAUGAAGAUAUUCAAGUGAUUGAGGGACACCAUUAUCAAGGAACAACACUACACCGUUUGAGAUUACUUGGAAGCAGUAAGCGAUUAAUAUGUAGUGCUAUUUUUGCCAAGGGCUUCGCAAAGUACAUACAUAAGCAUACGAUAAUUUUUUGCUUAUCGGGUGCUGUACAUUUCCGCUGGUCAUGUCACAGGAGGUGGUUUUAGAGCUCCGGAAUUUCUCUUAUUUUCUUUCUUUUUAUUUGCUUUGUAUUGUGCUAGUCGGCUGAGAGUAAUCUAAGUUCUUUAUCAAAGGAAGUGAAUUUUGAGAUUGGCAUGAACAAUAUUGCUUUUGGACACUUUGAAGAGCUUCUGCCCCAAUUUAAGGGAGUGGCAAAAGUUGGGGAAGUUGUGAACUUUGAAGCAGGCAUAGAAAUCAUAGAUGUUCUUUAUGAAAAGAAAAGCAGGAGACAUCGGUGCUCUACAUCAAUCCUCGCUCUCUCGCUGUAUCAAUCUUGGCAUGCUUGACAAAACAGAAUCUUAGUACUAGUAAAAUGUCGCUAACUUUGGUUUGUGUUCUCUAAUUUUGUUUUUUAUGUUGUUUUGCAGGUUGCUUCAUAUAUCAUCACAGUUCCUAAACAGAUGCUGGAAUUUCCUGUUCUUCCUUGGGUUGAGUUUGUAACAAGAUGCGAUGAAGAGGAUGUUCUAGAUAUUGUCACCGACAUUCUGAAGCACGUGUUCGACGCUUGUCGUUAGAUAGGAGUUUUGAACAGGGCAACUAGUCUGGUGUGUUACGUUAUAUACUUGGAUUUACUGAGUUGUGUUACGUUUUGUUGAAAAACUUGAAGGUUUCUGGUCUUGGAAUCCAAUACCAAAUUACCAACAGGAGGAUAAGGGAUGGACGUCGCUGGGCCAUUCGUAUGCUGUUAACACACAAGAAACUACUUUUGAACACUAUCAUUUCUGUGGGCUCCACCACACGCCCACUUGAUGUUACAUUUCAGUCGAGAUCCGGAAAUUGCCUUUAUUUUUAGAGACGGAGUGGGAUUUUCUCUUUUUUAAAAUCUCUCUUCCAGUUUUUUUUUUUUUUUUUUUUUUUCUAUAAAGAAAUUAACAUCAGGUGUUAAUGUGACUUAAUCAUCAUAAUCGUUCAAAUAAGAGGCGAUUGAAGAGGAAGGGGAUUUAAAGAAAAGAGAAUCAUAAUCCAAUAAUUUCUCUCUUUUCUCUUGUCUUGUCGGGGUCCAUUAGAAACCAAGGGAGAUGCCAAACUAGUGUGUGAAGUUGUCCCCCUAGCUUUUUUGUGGAUUAAUUUGCGAGAAAUUUUUGAGUGUAAUUGUAAUAUAUACUUUUUCGUAUCUCUCAUUCCGUUACUCAUUUUACUUUGUACAUCAGAGUCUUCCAUCUCUUAUAAGUUUUAAUUUUGAAGCCCUUGUCCCACCAAAUUUGCUUGGUGAGCAAAGCUUGGAUUGGGGGUCAAGUAUAGUGUGUGAUGUUUCAUGCUUUACAAUUCUGUUGUUCUUGUCCUGUUUGGUAAGGUUAGAUUGGAUUCGGAUAAGAAUAACAAUCCGCAAGAGCAAUGAGCAUUUGAGUAUUUUUAACCACUCUGCAUUUCCUAUGAAUUGUGAAAUUCAAUUCCAUUUAAUAACACUUUAUGAUAUCAUAAGUAAAAAGUUUUAAUUUCGA